AUUGAACGCUGGCGGAAUGCUUUACACAUGCAAGUCGAACGGCAGCACGGACUUCGGUCUGGUGGCAAGUGGCGAACGGGUGAGUAAUGUAUCGGAACGUGCCCAGUCGUGGGGGAUAACGUAGUGAAAAUUACGCUAAUACCGCAUACGAUCUAUGGAUGAAAGCGGGGGAUCGCGAGACCUCGCGCGAUUGGAGCGGCCGAUAUCAGAUUAGGUAGUUGGUGGGGUAAAGGCCCACCAAGCCAACGAUCUGUAGCUGGUCUGAGAGGACGACCAGCCCCACUGGAACUGAGACACGGUCCAGACUCCUACGGGAGGCAGCAGUGGGGAAUUUUGGACAAUGGGCGAAAGCCUGAUCCAGCCAUUCCGCGUGCAGGAUGAAGGCCCUCGGGUUGUAAACUGCUUUUGUACAGAACGAAAAGGUUUCUACUAAUACUAGGAGCUCAUGACGGUACUGUAAGAAUAAGCACCGGCUAACUACGUGCCAGCCGCCGCGGUAA
rnacentral:rRNA from 1 species